CAUGGAUUUUCAGGAAAAUUUGGAGUUGUCUUUGCCUCAAUUCCAGCACCAAUCAUUGCGGCUUUGUAUUGCUUUUUCUUUGCCUAUGUUGGUUCAGCAGGUCUUAGCUUACUUCAAUUUUGCAAUCUAAACAGUUUUAGGACGAAGUUUAUUAUAGGCUUCUCAAUUUUCAUAGGCUUUUCAAUCCCACAAUACUUCAAUGAGUAUACUGUUGUUAAUGGUUAUGGUCCAGUGCACACUGGAGCAAGAUGGAUACCAAUCCUCUUUUCUCAAAUAUCUCACUUUUGCUUUAGUCCUCUCUGGGAAAGUAUUUAAUUAUCUCACAUUUCCUCCUUCAUAUGCAGUUCAAUGACAUGAUCAACGUACCGUUCUCGUCAGAACUGUUUGUUGCUGGUAUGUUGGCAAUUUUCCUAGACAUCACUCUGCAUAAGAAAGACAGUGCAACAAGGAAAGAUAGAGGCAUGCAUUGGUGGGAUAGGUUCCAGUCGUUUAAGACAGAUACAAGAAGUGAGGAAUUCUACCAUCUGCCUUUCAAUCUCAACAAGUUUUUCCCAUCAAUAUGAUAUCGAAAACACAGUAAUUGUGAAGCUGGUGUUCUCCAUUGGCCAAAUAAUCCUCUAAAUAUCUCUUUGUGGGUAUGACAUUAAUGCAUGAAAUCUUGUUUUGUUCCCCUUAUAUAUGUCAACUCCAUGAAAGAAAACCUACAGUGUUUUUAACAUCAAAUCUUUGUGUUUCAAGGCACAAUUUGUUGCAGCGAUCCAUUUUUCCCAUAAAUCAUGAUCCUUGAAAUGGUAAAAACAUAACAUUAUACAUAUAUCUAUUGCAAUGUAGUAGCACAUUACUUAUUGAUUUAUAUUUUUUGGUUUUCCUUAGACUGUCCUAGACAA